GGCCGCGUUGAGCUGUCAAAAAACAAAAAAAAAAACAAGCUGCCGGCGUCUUCAUCGGUCUUCCCUUCGCCCUUCGGUUCCUCCUCCUACCGUCCUACGCUCUGCCGCCACUGAUAGUCUGACACAGUAACACUUUCUGUGGAGUUCUGUCCAUGGAGCAGAGCCAGAUGGCCAGAGUGAAGCUUGGCACACAGGGCCUCGAGGUCUCCAAGAUCGGGUACGGAUGCAUGGGCCUCACGGGCGUUUACAACGCUCCGGUGCCGGAGGAUGCUGGCGUCGCCGUUAUCAGGCGCGCCUUUGACGCCGGCGUCACCUUCUUCGACACCGCCGAUGCCUAUGGGCCGCACACCAACGAGAUUCUGCUUGGAAAGGCACUAAAGCAGGUCCCUAGACAAAGCGUGCAAGUGGCCACCAAGUGCGGCAUUGCAGGAUUUGACAUCAGUGGCAUGGUUGUGAAGGGCACUCCGGACUAUGUGCGUGCAUGCUGCGAAGCAAGCCUUGCACGCCUUGGCGUCGAUUACAUUGAUCUGUACUUCCAGCAUCGCAUCGACCAGUCUGUGCCUAUAGAGGAAACUAUGGGGGAAUUGAAGAAGUUGGUUGAAGAAGGCAAAGUAAAAUAUGUUGGCUUGUCUGAGGCUAGUGCUGAUACCAUUAGAAGGGCACAUGCAGUUCAUCCAAUCACCGCAGUGCAGUUAGAGUGGUCUCUAUGGACCAGGGACAUAGAGGAAGAUAUUAUCCCACUGUGCAGGGAGCUUGGCAUUGGAAUCGUUCCAUACAGCCCACUUGGUCGUGGUUUCUUUGCUGGCAGGGCAGCCGUAGAGAGCAUACCAUCAGAGAGUUUAUUGUCCAAACAUCCAAGGUAUACUGGAGAAAACUUGGAGAAGAAUAAAGCUCUAUACACACGACUUGAAAAGCUGUCAACCAAGUAUGGCUGCACACCUGCUCAACUUGCUCUUGCGUGGGUUCUUCAUCAAGGGGAUGAUGUCGUCCCAAUCCCUGGCGAUAGGCAACGACAGUUUGCAAUGGUCAGGUAGGGCUGCCCAUGGUGUCCCUUUCAGGAGGAAAACCUCCUUGGGAGCAGCUGGCCAAUCCAGAGUGGAUCUCGAGGCUUUGCAGCUGCCCAUCAUGCACUUCGAGCAUCAUCGGGGAACGCGCCGUGGCCGGCCGCCGGGCGAUCGAUGAUGCAGCAUACAGGGGAUAUGCGCCCACCAAGAACAUUUGUGCCCCUCCUCCCACAUGUGUGAGGGAAGGAGCCUUUGGACCACCUCCCCAAAUCUUGCUGCUGCGAGAAUUUGCUGGACCAUAAACCUUGAUGCAGUUCAAAGCAAGGCGUGCGCCGUUCAUGCAAACAAUCGACCACUGCGUCGUCCAACCAGCCUAUAUAUCAUUGUCCGAUGAUUGAUUGAUUGAUUGCCUGUGCUUAUCUUGUUCUGAUCUAAGUAACUGUGAAUCUGCAAUGGCUCUGCAACAAGAUUUCAUUAUAUAUAAGACAACUACAGGCCAGUUUCUGAGACACAAACUUUAAUUGUAUCCUGGAGACCAGCUUAUCAGAAUCAGCAACACAAAGCCAGUGUCAGGAAGCAGAAGAGGGGCAUGCUUUUUGUUAAUGCCUGGAUUGCAAAAGGGGCAAAGAGGGGGAAUAAAGAAGGGAAAGCAAAGGAGGAAAAAGCCAUGCAGUGAUCUUUUUGGAGGAGAGCUGGGGGCAAUUGGGAUGUAUCGGAGUUUGCUACUACUAAUUCCCUGCAUCUCACAUGCCCAUGCAUAGAGCUUUUCUUCAAAAGCCUGGCUAAGUAUAUGCAAGCUUCCUUUGCAUGCAUGCUUGCCGUGGGAUGUAAUCCCUAGGUUUAUUCCAUGCAAGCUUUAUAUCCUUUUUCCACCACAUCUCAUCGAGAAUAUUCUGGCAUUAGGCUUUUCAUCUUGAGCAUGCCUACUGCCACGUCUUUUGCCAAAAGCAUUUGGGAUCCGUUCAAAUGUACGUUGCUCUAGUAUGUAUUCAUCUCUUUACAUGUAAA